CCGAUAUUCGUGAGCCUCCUAGCGUCAAAACACCGCUCGAUCGGCGACCUCUCGAUGCUUGUCAACCUCCAAGAUCCGUUCGGCAUGUGCAUCCUUGUGUCCAUGGUCUCGAGCUUUGCCGAAACUGUAGGCCGUGCCUCCCCCAUGCGCCCGUUGCGUGCCUGGUCGGUGCCUCUCGAAGCCAAGGCUGACAGCUCGAUCCUCACCAAGUUCCCCAGUAUUUUCGUGUGCCUCCUACAGCCAAGAUCGAUGGAUCGACAAUCACCUGGGUCUGUCACACUCCCACAUGCAUGCCUAGCUCCAAACACCCCAGAUCGAUUAGUUCCCGACGUCAACUCUCAAGACCAGCUGGCGCCAAACAC
rnacentral:lncRNA from 1 species